GCUCAGCAAGCGCAAAGAGCUCUUAAUCCUGUCGGUAUGGCCAAUCAACAGGCAAACGCGCCAAGAUUGAUGCGCCCUGGUUCAAAUAUGGGUCUCAGACAUUUAUUACAACAACCACAACCACCAUACAGGCAAGUACUUGGACUACAACAACAAAUUGUUGCUGCCAGAGGACAAAUGCCAACUAGGCCUAUGGCACCUGGUAAUUCACAGAAUCAACAAUUUGAAGAUGUUAACAAUUAUGAUUUCCUCGGAUAAGCGAUUUAGAUAGUAAAAAUUUUUAUAACGAAACGAUGUAUUUAAGUAAACUAUUUGCUAUUUUACAUAAGUAUUAUAUAAAUAUGUUUGUUAAGACUGUAAAUCAUGUAUUACUUUUUAUGAUCAAAGAAAUUAACAGAAUUACGAAUGAAUUGAGAGAAUUAUUAAUAUGCGAUCUAAUAAAUUAAUUCAUAAAUCUUGA